GCCUCCGUAGCUCAGGGGAUAGAGCGUCGGUUUCCGGUACCGCAGGUCGGGGGUUCGAAUCCCUCCGGGGGCACAA
rnacentral:tRNA from 2 species